UAAUGAUCCUACUUCUGGAUGGGAGAUAAAAGCGAGACAAAGACAGAGCUGUUGACUUUGAACUUGCAUGAAAAGCUGCGAUGAGGACCAUAUACGAAGACAGAGCAGUGUCACGACCGGAAUCAGCAAUAUUCUGCAAGACAGUGGAUCCACUUUAACAUUUCACAGCCUUAUGCCAGGCAGAUCGAGAUUGCGUUGCAAUUAUGGGGGAAGAUCUAUAUUUAUAGUGUGAAAAGAAUUUGUACAGAAGCCACAGUUGUCUCUCUGCCUGGCAUGACAUAUCCAUUCUGCACUAAUGUUG